rnacentral:rRNA from 1 species
GACGAACGCUGGCGGCGUGCUUAACACAUGCAAGUCGAACGGAAAGGCCCUGCUUUUGUGGGGUGCUCGAGUGGCGAACGGGUGAGUAACACGUGAGUAACCUGCCCUUGACUUUGGGAUAACUUCAGGAAACUGGGGCUAAUACCGGAUAGGAGCUCCUGCUGCAUGGUGGGCGUUGGAAAGUUUCGGCGGUUGGGGAUGGACUCGCGGCUUAUCAGCUUGUUGGUGGGGUAGUGGCUUACCAAGGCUUUGACGGGUAGCCGGCCUGAGAGGGUGACCGGCCACAUUGGGACUGAGAUACGGCCCAGACUCCUACGGGAGGCAGCAGUGGGGAAUAUUGCACAAUGGGCGGAAGCCUGAUGCAGCAACGCCGCGUGCGGGAUGACGGCCUUCGGGUUGUAAACCGCUUUCGCCUGUGACGAAGCGUGAGUGACGGUAAUGGGUAAAGAAGCACCGGCUAACUACGUG